rnacentral:lncRNA from 1 species
GUGAUGACACCUAUCGUGAAACUAGGCUAACCGACACAAUUCCCGAAUUAACCAUUAUUCAAUAAAAGUCAUUUUUAAGUCUUUAGUUAAUCAAAUAUUUCAUAAUGUAAGUCUAAAUGAACAAUGCAGAAUAAAUACACAAGCCCGACAUCGGGGUGUCACAAAUCAUUAGCAUCUACUAAGGUCUGAAUACAACAAAGAGUCUAAAAAUAUACUAAAAACAAUCUAAGGAAGACAAGAGGGAGAAGAGCAGGAUUGCGAACAUCGGGCAGCUACCUUGCUAACUCUGACGACUCUACCACUGAGCAAUCAACAUCCACUACCGGGUUCAGAAAUACCAGAAUCUGCACGCAAGGUGCAGGGAGUAAUGUGAGUACGCCAACUCAGUAAGUAAUAAAAGUAAAUGAAAGUUGAGCAAUAAGAAAACACGUAAACCACGUCAUAACGCUACAACAAAUGCAGUACAUUUUCAAAACAGUACAGAAAUCAUUUACUUCGUAAAUAAAGUUCAGUUUCAGUAAAACCUUUUAAAACAACUUUCAAUAUUUUCAAAUGAGUAAUGAAAACAAUGAGAAAAGAAUAGAAAUAUAAACAACCCCUCGGGCAAAACAUAUACCACAACCGUCACUCGGAAAAAAUAUCAACAGAACUAGCCCCUCGAGCAAUAACAUGAAAUAACAACAGCCCCUCAAGCAAUAACAUGAAAUAACAACAGCCCCUCGGGCAAUAACAUGAAACAACAACAGCCCCUCGGGAAAUAUCACAUCUCACACUGGGUACCCCGCUCACUGGGGGUGUGCAGACUCCGGAUGGGCUCCUACAGCCCAAACUCUAUAACAAGCCAUCUCGUGGCAUAUUCAAAUUGGCCCUCGGCCUCAUAACAAGCCACCUCGUGGCAUAACAAAUCAGGCCCUCAGCUUUAUGAUCAUGAAUUAGUACAACACUGCUGCAGCGCGCAGCCUAAUCCCAUAAUAUCCUCACAACACAGGCUCUCGGCCUCACUCAGUCAGAAAUCUGUCAAGCCACUCGGCCAACAGUAAAACAUGAUGCGCAGCCCACAAUAUCAUUUAAAAUAUCAAAACGGAGUAAAUAUGGCUUGUCACACCUCCUUUUUUCCUACACCCCCGAAACGGGUAUAAAGAGGAGUUUUUUCCAACUUAAAGUGACAAUCGAAACUGGAUUAUUUAUUUAUUAAAUUCAGAGUCGACACUUGGGAUAAUUUAUGGUGUCCCAAGUCACCGGUUCAAAUCCCGAAUCGAGGAAAGGAUUGACUCUGUAUUACAAUCCGCGAUCCAGAAAUCCGGGUAAGGAAUUCUGUUAACCCGGGAGAAGGUGUUAGGCAUUUCCGAGUUCAGUGGUUCUAGCACGGUCGUUCAACUGUUAUAAUUGGCCUAUUAUCUGAUUUCAACACAUGUUUUAACCUAUGGUUCAAUUUUGACCUAAUAACCGCUUUUAUUUAAUUAAUUAAAGGAAGAAUGCAACGUCAUUUAAAAUAUGUUUCAAACCACGUCACAUAAAUGCACCCGCAAUUCGCAACACAUUUCAGCUAACGUUGAGACUUGGAUUUGGGUCACAUAAAUGCACACCCGAGUUUAGGAAGGUGAAUUAUUAAAGUAACGCGCCUAAAGAAACUACGCGUUUGCAACUUUGCAAGGGCCAUGAAAAUUCGCUAAACGGCACACCUCGAUUUCUAAGGAUAAACAAGAUUAAUUAAAACAAGGGCCAUGCAAUUGUAAUUUUUAUUUAUGGCCCACGUCGAGUCCAAAUUCAAAAGGGGGUUAAUUAAUAAGAAAAUCUUAAAUUCUAGAAUAGUCCAAUCUGCGAGUUGAAAAACGCCAACUUUCAGAAGUUCCAAAAAAGAGCCAAUGACCCCACUAUGCUUCACUUUACUCCAAAACUCCACUAACAGCUGCUAGUGCUACUAUUAACUUUAACAAAAUAAUGUAGCUUUACCAUGUUCAUAUUAUUGAUUAUUUCCAGAAUCCCAAGUAUAUUAAAAUCAUCCACCUUCAUUUUAGUAGUAAUUUGAGCAAAUACUCGUUCAAUUCUCACUCUCUAAGUCUCAGAUAUGCUAGUGCAAUCAACGAAGAAAGAAAAUAGAAGUGCAAAAGUUGCUAAUCAAGCAUCCAAUUAUAGUAUCUAACAUUCGGAUUCAAAUUUCAAGACCAGUCACUAACACAAUUCAGUAAUCACUAACACAAUUUCCGUAAUAGCUGCUUGUAAGGAAAUUACUUCUUCAACCAAUUAGGCAUCACCAAAGAAUUGUACCAAACCAACUAAUAAUAAUGUAGCACAAAUGAAGCCAACAGAUAUUUUCCAAAGAGAUUAAACGCAGCUUCAUUCAAAUCGGAACAAGAGAAUGUCAUGAAAACGUAAGAUGUCACCAUACUGGGUCUCAAAUGCCAAGCUCAUUGAACUGUCACUUGGGUGCCAAACUCAAUGGUUUCGGAACAAAAAUUGCUACCAGAUUUGCGAAAUGUUUGUGUUAUAAUUACAUGAAAAAUGUGUAACCCUUUUCAUCAAUUGUAAUAAACCAGAACUUUAUGGUCAAUCAUCAUCCGAUUAAACUAUUUUAGUACAAUUUCUGAGGAGAAAAGAAGAUUGUAUAAGUUCAGAAUGCAAAUUGCUGUCUACUGAACACCCAGGCCACUUCCUUUCGAACCAUGUAAGCAAAAUUCAUUUCAGGAUCACAUUUUCAAUUCAAAACAUCAUUAAUAGGCAUAAGAUUCUCACAAGUCUGCCAUCCACGCAUCAUACAAGACAAGAUCAACAAGUAAAGGGGUAAAAUGGCGACAGACCUGAGAUAUGUUUCCAAUUAAUGAAACUCUAGGAAUUACACAGAGCGAGGCAACAAUUACAGCCGAAAAUCGACACAAAUGCGAACGAAAUCAGCAAAAUCGAACCGGAUCUUCGGAUUUGAACCUGCAACAGCAACCCCAGGCAGAAACUCAAAUCGGCUCAGUCGAACUCCAUUUGUUUCAGAGCUAAUUUUGGACUAAUUUUGAAGCUGUUUCGUGACUUUUCUGUGUGGAUCUGUCGGAGUGAAAUUGGUGGAGGAUUACAUGGUCACUGGAUGGGAAGAUGGCGUUAAGGUUUGAAGCUCGCCGGAGAUGGAUUUUGAGAAGAGGGAGCGGCGUGAGCAGAUGGUCGUUGAUGGGGGUCUUGUUUUGGCUGGGAAGAUGGAGUUACAGGGAGGUGGGGGUCGCGUAGACGAUCUGAGUGAGGGGUCUGUAUUGUGCGCAGCUUUUUCCCAGCUUUUCCCCGUUAUCCACUUCUCUCUAGCUGAUUGUAGGCAUUAUAUAUAUAAUAUAGGUCUAGGUUUU